rnacentral:rRNA from 1 species
GACGAACGCUGGCGGCGUGCCUAACACAUGCAAGUCGAACGAGAAAGUCCCUUCGGGGGCGAGUACAGUGGCGCACGGGUGAGUAACACGUGGAUAACCAACCCUCGGGUGGGGGAUAACAGUCCGAAAGGAUUGCUAAUCCCGCAUAAGACCACGGCAGCUGCGGCUGCUGAGGUAAAAGGCGCUUUAUUGAGUCGCCUGAGGACGGGUCCGCGUCCCAUUAGCUAGUUGGCGGGGUAAUGGCCCACCAAGGCGAUGAUGGGUAGCUGGUCUGAGAGGAUGACCAGCCACACUGGGACUGGAACACGGCCCAGACUCCUACGGGAGGCAGCAGUGAGGAAUAUUGCACAAUGGGCGAAAGCCUGAUGCAGCAACGCCGCGUGAGUGACGAAGGCCUUCGGUUGUAAGCUCUGUCGGUGGGAAGAUGUGGUCCGGCUAACGACCGGAUUGUGACGGUACCGAUCAAAGGAAGCACCGGCUAACUCCGUGCCAGCAGCCG